GACGGAGUUUUCCCCUGACGGGAGCGAGCAGGGCUGGAGCACCGGACGCGCACAGCAGGUUGCAACUGGAUCAGCUCAAAGAGGUGAGAUGGCUGACAAUUAAGAAAACAGAGUUCAGUGAGGAAGAGACGGCUUGGUCUUCAACAGGAUGCCAGGAUCACAUUUUUAACACACCGUUUAAAGGGCUUUCUUGUCCGCAGCUGAACAUCCAGCAUACCACACAGAGAUGGAGAAUGACAGCACACUCUCGAUGGUCGCCCGGUAGAAGGACACCAGCAGCUUCUUGUUCAGUCUGUUCCUCCGAAGCACCCUCAUGAAGUGUAGUCGCUGCUGGGCCAUUUUAACUGCUGCAGUGGUGUGUGCAGCUGAGGCUCUCCGAAAUUUGAACCCCUAGGAACUUAAAGAGACAACUCCCCAGAAGAAGAAAUAACCUGCAGUUACGGGGAUGCUGACUGGCCUUUGCGCAAACAGUUCCAGGUGACAAACGGGCAGACUAAUCCAGAGGGAGUUGAGGAGGAGAGGCUCCCCUUAGACUUGACUUUCCCCGAAACAUCAACAAGUGACUGUGCUACUACCGAGUUCCAGGUGACAAACGGGCAGACUAAUCCAGAGGGAGUUGAGGAGGAGAGGCUCCCCUUAGACUUGACUUUCCCCGAAACAUCAACAAGUGACUGUGCUACUACCGAGUUCCAGGUGACAAACGGGCAGACUAAUCCAGGGAGGGAGUUGAGGACGAGACGCUCUCCUUGGAACUUUAUGUCUACAUAAGCAUCAAACAGUGACUGUGCUACUACCGAGGGAAACAAACGUUUGUGAAACGCAGCUGGACGUCAGCAGAAAGUGCUGCUGUGGAACAACACUUGGGUUACGAAAUGGACAAUCAAGAACCAGGUUCCAGGGAAAGAUGCAUGUAAGAAUUGUAUCUCUGCCGAACCUCAAGCCCUAACAAAUAGGGACUGGGGAGCCGUUAAGUAUUACAUGAACAUUUCAAUUUCUUCUCUCCGAAUGUAAAUGAAAUAAAAUUGAACCAAGGAAAAAUACGUUCAAUGUUGAAAGAAGGAUUUCAAGUACCACUACCAAAACUAGGGGCUUUACCUAAACCAAACCAAAUUUUCAUCUUUGAAUCGUCAACUAAUAUAAAUUAAAAGGAAAUCAAUUGCAUUCCGAUUAUGCUGCGAGAAAGAAUCAUCCAUGUUUUCAAAGAUUUCCUUUUUUGCUUUUAGGGUUUUCCCUCUCAUGUAGUGUAGAAAAUAUAUUUUUGUGCAUGUAAAUGUUUUUCAAAGUCUAAAAUCCCUCAUUGAAGCAUGGAAACAUUUCACAGUAGAGAAACUUUAUACACAUUUGAACCUCAAAAUGACCAGAAUAUGUCCUUGUUAAAUGUAACUCAAAAGGAGGUAAAAGUCUACUGAUUUGUUAGGCCUGUUUGUUUUGUUUUUUGGGUCAUGGGAUUGGUCAAGUUGUACAUUUUGUUUUAACGAUAUAGAAACACCCCAAUAAUAUAAAAAUAAAUAUUUAUAGCAUUAAAAUAAUGUUGUAGAGAGUUUAUAUUAUUAUACUUUUUUCUCAAGAAUUACUAAUUGUUGCCUCUAAGAAAAAACAAUGUUGAACGAAAAGGAUCUUUAGGGGAUUAUUGAUUUGGUCUCCAUGGUGUUUCAAUGUUACUGCCAUGUCUACUGUCGAGUUAUAUUCUAUGUUAAGAUGAGGCUAAUCACCUAAGUAAUAACUUAUUUUACCAGCAAUGUGAAUUUGUUGGUGUAAAAAAUAUCAAAGUAGAAUGUAAAUGUUCAUGAUGCUGUUCUGCAGUUUUUUUGGUAACAAGGAAAGUCCAUUCAACUCAAUAAUGUCUCUAGUAACUCUGAUCCCUUCCAAGAUAUGAAAACUAGAAAUAUGUG